UAUAAAGAAGUAAUUUUUACUUUUAAUUUCGACUUAAAGAUUUGAUUUAUUUUAUAAAUCCUUUAUAA
rnacentral:tRNA from 1 species